AGUCCCGGCUAGGGACACAGCUCUUAGACUUUGAGCUAGACAACCAGGAGGACAGGAGGACCUAGUAUCCUGCCUCCAUCAGCCCAUCAUUUAUGCAAAUGCUACUUAGUUGCCGUCUAGAUGCAGGAUGCUGUCUGCCCUGUUAAAUGCUGUGUGAACCCAGAUGGAAGCUGAGCAGACAUCACACUCGUGAGCAGCUCCCCUUCCUAUGCUGAGAUUAAAGGCAUGUGCCAUCACCACCUGAACAACAGCAGCUUUCUAAGGAACCAGUAAGGCACUACAGACUUUUCAUAUAACAUCACCUUCAUUCUCUCACAACUAAUUCUACAAAACAGAUGUUAUACGACCUCGUUCGCUGAAGUCAAAGAUGCAGAGGGGCCAAGGUGUGGGCUCCGGACCUCACACCAGUGUGGCAGAUUCAACAAGCCCAGAAUAAGCCUCUUCCUUUGCUCACAAUAAGAUUAAGCCAACUGCCUCUUCAUUCCUCAGUCACACUCCUCCUCUGACCCUGCUCCAGGAGGCUCAUCUUGUCAGACUUCACACUGAAUGAGCGCUGAGGAUGCUGUAGAGUAUGAGCUGUGUGCAGGUGAUAGCAGUGGAAAGAAGACUAAGACAGACUCCAUCUAGAAACCAGAAUGACCUCUUUUAUGGAAAAAGAGACUGUAUCACUCGUGUUUCUACCCACAAAAACCUCCACUGAUUGCUAUCUUCUGGUCCUGUACUCCUCAAGCUCAAAGGCCAACGUCCUGGCAUUUGUGUGACGGCUUUUGCCCUACCCUGCAGAAUUUGCAAUAGGCAGUCUCUACAUGUACUCAGGGCCCAGUGGGCAUUCAACAUGUUCAUUGAAUGACAA
rnacentral:lncRNA from 1 species